UUAAGCGAAUAAGCGUACACGGUGGAUGCCUAGGCAAUCAGAGGCGAUGAAGGACGUGCUAAUCUGCGAAAAGCGUCGGUAAGGUGAUAUGAACCGUUAUACCCGACGAUAUCCGAAUGGGGAAACCCAGUAUCCAAUGGAUACUAUCAUUAACUGAAUCCAUAGGUUAAUGAGGCGAACCGGGAGAACUGAAACAUCUCAGUACCCCGAGGAAAAGAAAUCAACCGAGAUUCCCCUAGUAGCGGCGAGCGAACGGGGAGCAGCCCAGAGUCUUAAUCAAUAGCAGUGUCAGGAGAACGGUCUGGAAAGUCCGGCAGUAAAGGGUGAUAGCCCCGUAUCUGAAGAUGCUGUUAUUGUGAACUCGACGAGUAGGGCGGGACACGUGUUAUCCUGUCUGAAUAUGGGGGACCAUCCUCCAAGGCUAAAUACUCCUGAUUGACCGAUAGUGAACCAGUACCGUGAGGGAAAGGCGAAAAGAACCCCGGCGAGGGGAGUGAAAAAGAACCUGAAACCGUGUACGUACAAGCAGUAGGAGCCUCUUUAUGGGGUGACUGCGUACCUUUUGUAUAAUGGGUCAGCGACUUAUAUUCUGUAGCAAGGUUAACCGCAUAGGGGAGCCGUAGGGAAACCGAGUCUUAACUGGGCGAAUGAGUUGCAGGGUAUAGACCCGAAACCCGGUGAUCUAUCCAUGGGCAGGUUGAAGGUUGGGUAACACUAACUGGAGGACCGAACCGACUAAUGUUGAAAAAUUAGCGGAUGACUUGUGGAUGGGGGUGAAAGGCCAAUCAAACCGGGAGAUAGCUGGUUCUCCCCGAAAGCUAUUUAGGUAGCGCCUCGUGAAUUCAUCUUCGGGGUAGAGCACUGUUUCGACUAGGGGGUCAUCCCGACUUACCAACUCGAUGCAAACUGCGAAUACCGAAGAAUGUUAUCACGGGAGACACACGGCGGGUGCUAACGUCCGUCGUGAAGAGGGAAACAACCCAGACCGCCAGCUAAGGUCCCAAAGUCAUGGUUAAGUGGGAAACGAAGUGGGAAGGCUCAGACAGCCAGGAUGUUGGCUUAGAAGCAGCCAUCAUUUAAAGAAAGCGUAAUAGCUCACUGGUCGAGUCGGCCCGCGCGGAAGAUGUAACGGGGCUAAACCAUGCACCGAAGCUGCGGCAGCGACACAAAGUGUUGUUGGGUAGGGGAGCGUUCUGUAAGCCUGCGAAGGUGUACUGUGAGGUAUGCUGGAGGUAUCAGAAGUGCGAAUGCUGACAUAAGUAACGAUAAUGCGGGUGAAAAACCCGCACGCCGGAAGACCAAGGGUUCCUGUCCAACGUUAAUCGGGGCAGGGUGAGUCGACCCCUAAGGCGAGGCUGAAAAGCGUAGUCGAUGGGAAACGGGUUAAUAUUCCCGUACUGGUGGUAACUGCGAUGGGGGAACGGAGAAGGCUAGGUUGUCCGGGCGACGGUCGUCCCGGUUCAAGCAGGUAGGCAGAGUGAUUAGGCAAAUCCGGUCACUUAAUGCUGAGAUGUGAUGACGAACCACCAAGGUGGUGAAGCAAUUGAUGCCCCGCUUCCAGGAAAAGCCUCUAAGCUUCAGGUUACCAACAAUCGUACCCCAAACCGACACAGGUGGUCAGGUAGAGAAUACUCAGGCGCUUGAGAGAACUCGGGUGAAGGAACUAGGCAAAAUGGUGCCGUAACUUCGGGAGAAGGCACGCUGGCGGUAGGUAAAGUCCCUCGCGGACGGCGCUGAAGCCAGUCGAAGAUACCAGCUGGCUGCAACUGUUUAUUAAAAACACAGCACUGUGCAAACACGAAAGUGGACGUAUACGGUGUGACGCCUGCCCGGUGCUGGAAGGUUAAUUGAUGGGGUUAGCGUAAGCGAAGCUCCUGAUCGAAGCCCCAGUAAACGGCGGCCGUAACUAUAACGGUCCUAAGGUAGCGAAAUUCCUUGUCGGGUAAGUUCCGACCUGCACGAAUGGCGUAAUGAUGGCCAGGCUGUCUCCACCCGAGACUCAGUGAAAUUGAACUCGCUGUGAAGAUGCAGUGUACCCGCGGCAAGACGGAAAGACCCCGUGAACCUUUACUAUAGCUUGACACUGAACAUUGAGCCUUGAUGUGUAGGAUAGGUGGGAGGCUUUGAAGUGUGGACGCCAGUCUGCAUGGAGCCAACCUUGAAAUACCACCCUUUAACGUUUGAUGUUCUAACCUAGGCCCAUAAACUGGGUCGGGGACCGUGUCUGGUGGGUAGUUUGACUGGGGCGGUCUCCUCCUAAAGAGUAACGGAGGAGCACGAAGGUUGGCUAAGCAUGGUCGGACAUCAUGCGGUUAGUGCAAAGGCAUAAGCCAGCUUGACUGCGAGAGUGACGGCUCGAGCAGGUACGAAAGUAGGUCUUAGUGAUCCGGUGGUUCUGAAUGGAAGGGCCAUCGCUCAACGGAUAAAAGGUACUCCGGGGAUAACAGGCUGAUACCGCCCAAGAGUUCAUAUCGACGGCGGUGUUUGGCACCUCGAUGUCGGCUCAUCACAUCCUGGGGCUGAAGUAGGUCCCAAGGGUAUGGCUGUUCGCCAUUUAAAGUGGUACGCGAGCUGGGUUUAGAACGUCGUGAGACAGUUCGGUCCCUAUCUGCCGUGGGCGUUGGAAGAUUGAGAGGGGUUGCUCCUAGUACGAGAGGACCGGAGUGAACGCACCACUGGUGUUCGGGUUGUCAUGCCAAUGGCAUUGCCCGGUAGCUAAGUGCGGAAGAGAUAACCGCUGAAAGCAUCUAAGCGGGAAACUUGCCUCGAGAUGAGUCUUCCCUGUCGCUUUAAGCGACCUAAAGGAACGUUUAAGACUAAGACGUUGAUAGGCUGGGUGUGUAAGCGUAGCGAUACGUUGAGCUAACCAGUACUAAUGAACCGUGAGGCUUAACCUG
rnacentral:rRNA from 1 species